rnacentral:rRNA from 1 species
UAGGAGUUUGAUCCUGGCUCAGGAUGAACGCUGGCGGUAUGCUUAACACAUGCAAGUCGAACGGAGUACUUCGGUACUUAGUGGCGGACGGGUGAGUAACGCGUGAGAAUCUGGCUUCAGGUUCGGGACAACCACUGGAAACGGUGGCUAAUACCGGAUAUGCAGAAAUGUGAAAGUUUAAAUGCCUGGAGAUGAGCUCGCGUCUGAUUAGCUAGUAGGCAGUGUAAUGGACUACCUAGGCGACGAUCAGUAGCUGGUCUGAGAGGAUGAUCAGCCACACUGGGACUGAGACACGGCCCAGACUCCUACGGGAGGCAGCAGUGGGGAAUUUUCCGCAAUGGGCGAAAGCCUGACGGAGCAAUACCGCGUGAGGGAGGAAGGCUCUUGGGUUGUAAACCUCUUUUCUCAAGGAAGAACACAAUGACGGUACUUGAGGAAUAAGCAUCGGCUAACUCCGUGCCAGCAGCCGCGGUAAUACGGAGGAUGCAAGCGUUAUCCGGAAUGAUUGGGCGUAAAGCGUCUGUAGGUGGUUUAGCAAGUCUGCCGUUAAAGGUCGGGGCUCAACA